rnacentral:rRNA from 1 species
GGACUACCGGGGUAUCUAAUCCUGUUUGCUCCCCUAGCUUUCGUCCCUCAGCGUCAGUUGCGAUCCAGCAAGCCGCUUUCGCCUCGGAUGUUCCUGCGGAUAUCUACGCAUUUCACCGCUACACCCGCAAUUCCACUUGCCUCUCUCGCACUCGAGCACGGUAGUUUUGGAAGCAGCCUCUGAGUUAAGCCCAGAGAUUUCACUCCCAACUUACCGCACCGCCUACGGACCCUUUACGCCCAGUAAUUCCGAGCAACGCUGGCCCCCUACGUCUUACCGCGGCUGCUGGCAC